AAAUUGAAGAGUUUGAUCAUGGCUCAGAUUGAACGCUGGCGGCAGGCCUAACACAUGCAAGUCGAACGGUAACAGGAAGCAGCUUGCUGCUUUGCUGACGAGUGGCGGACGGGUGAGUAAUGUCUGGGAAACUGCCUGAUGGAGGGGGAUAACUACUGGAAACGGUGGCUAAUACCGCAUAACGUCGCAAGACCAAAGAGGGGGACCUUCGGGCCUCUUGCCAUCAGAUGUGCCCAGAUGGGAUUAGCUUGUUGGUGAGGUAACGGCUCACCAAGGCGACGAUCCCUAGCUGGUCUGAGAGGAUGACCAGCCACACUGGAACUGAGACACGGUCCAGACUCCUACGGGAGGCAGCAGUGGGGAAUAUUGCACAAUGGGCGCAAGCCUGAUGCAGCCAUGCCGCGUGUAUGAAGAAGGCCUUCGGGUUGUAAAGUACUUUCAGCGGGGAGGAAGGUGUUGUGGUUAAUAACCGCAGCAAUUGACGUUACCCGCAGAAGAAGCACCGGCUAACUCCGUGCCAGCAGCCGCGGUAAUACGGAGGGUGCAAGCGUUAAUCGGAAUUACUGGGCGUAAAGCGCACGCAGGCGGUCUGUCAAGUCGGAUGUGAAAUCCCCGGGCUCAACCUGGGAACUGCAUUCGAAACUGGCAGGCUUGAGUCUUGUAGAGGGGGGUAGAAUUCCAGGUGUAGCGGUGAAAUGCGUAGAGAUCUGGAGGAAUACCGGUGGCGAAGGCGGCCCCCUGGACAAAGACUGACGCUCAGGUGCGAAAGCGUGGGGAGCAAACAGGAUUAGAUACCCUGGUAGUCCACGCCGUAAACGAUGUCUACUUGGAGGUUGUGCCCUUGAGGCGUGGCUUCCGGAGCUAACGCGUUAAGUAGACCGCCUGGGGAGUACGGCCGCAAGGUUAAAACUCAAAUGAAUUGACGGGGGCCCGCACAAGCGGUGGAGCAUGUGGUUUAAUUCGAUGCAACGCGAAGAACCUUACCUGGUCUUGACAUCCACGGAAGAAUUCAGAGAUGGAUUUGUGCCUUCGGGAACCGUGAGACAGGUGCUGCAUGGCUGUCGUCAGCUCGUGUUGUGAAAUGUUGGGUUAAGUCCCGCAACGAGCGCAACCCUUAUCCUUUGUUGCCAGCGAUUAGGUCGGGAACUCAAAGGAGACUGCCAGUGAUAAACUGGAGGAAGGUGGGGAUGACGUCAAGUCAUCAUGGCCCUUACGACCAGGGCUACACACGUGCUACAAUGGCGCAUACAAAGAGAAGCGACCUCGCGAGAGCAAGCGGACCUCAUAAAGUGCGUCGUAGUCCGGAUUGGAGUCUGCAACUCGACUCCAUGAAGUCGGAAUCGCUAGUAAUCGUGGAUCAGAAUGCCACGGUGAAUACGUUCCCGGGCCUUGUACACACCGCCCGUCACACCAUGGGAGUGGGUUGCAAAAGAAGUAGGUAGCUUAACCUUCGGGAGGGCGCUUACCACUUUGUGAUUCAUGACUGGGGUGAAGUCGUAACAAGGUAACCGUAGGGGAACCUGCGGUUGGAUCACCUCCUUACCUGAAAGAAGC
rnacentral:rRNA from 4 species